UACGUAGGGUGCGAGCGUUAAUCGGAAUUACUGGGCGUAAAGCGUGCGCAGGCGGUUUCACAAGCUCGAUGUGAAAGCCCCGGGCUUAACCUGGGAAUGGCAUUGAGGACUGUGGAGCUCGAGUGCGGCAGAGGGAGGUGGAAUUCCACGUGUAGCAGUGAAAUGCGUAGAGAUGUGGAGGAACACCGAUGGCGAAGGCGGGACUCUGGGCCGAUACUGACGCUGAGGAGCGAAAGCGUGGGGAGCAAACAGG
rnacentral:rRNA from 1 species